rnacentral:rRNA from 1 species
UAGCGAAGGGGGCUAGCGUUGUUCGGAAUUACUGGGCGUAAAGCGCGCGUAGGCGGUUUUGCAAGCCAGAGGUGAAAUGCCUGAGCUCAACUCGGGAAUGGCCUUUUGGGACUGCGAGGCUUUGAGGACUGGAGAGGUGAGUGGAAUUCCCAAGUGUAGAGGUGAAAUUCGUAAGAUAUUGGGAAGAACACCGGUGGCGAAGGCGGCUC